CGGAGGCCGGGCGGUGUGAGCAGGCCGUGGGCAGGAGCCGUGUCCCGGAGGCCGGGCGGUGUGAGCAGGCCGUGGGCAGGAGCCGUGUCCCGGAGCUGCGGGCUGCAGGUGGCAGCAGCGCCCUUCCCUUCCCUGCGGCAGCCGGGGAUGCUGCGGCACAGCCCGGCCACAGCGCCAGGAGCACAUCGGCACCUCGCAGCCACACUCUGCGCCUCCCCCGCCUCCUCCCCGACAGGAAUCCGGAUCCUUGGAGAGAGGGGAGGGGAAGAAAAGCCUUUCUGCAUCGCGCAGUGCCAGACAGAGCCCGAAUGAAGAUUUGCUAACACUGAUGC
rnacentral:lncRNA from 1 species